GGGUCAAGGAAGUAAGGGCGUAUGGUGGAUGUCUUGGUAUCAGAAAGCGAUGAAGGACGCGGCCAACUGCGAAAAGCCACGGGGAGGAGUAAGUAUCUUAUGAUCCGUGGGAUUCCGAAUGGGGAAACCCACCCAGAGUAAUGUCUGGGUAUCUUAUACUGAAUACAUAGGUAUAUGAAGCGAACCCGGCGAAGUGAAAUAUCUCAGUAACCGGAGGAAAAUAAAUCAAACGAGAUUCCCUUAGUAGCGACGAGCGAAUGGGGAAUAGCCCAAACCAAACCUACUUGUAGGUUUGGGGUUGUAGGACCGCAUGAGUAGGACUACUAUAUGAUAGUUGAAUGAGCUGGAAAGCUCUCCCAUAGAAGGUGAUAGGCCUGUAAGCGAAAUUUUAUAGUUACCGAAGCGGUAUCCUGAGUACCACG
rnacentral:rRNA from 1 species